AUGGUCAUAUGACAUUGACACACCAGUUCUUGUAUGAUCACCAAAGUUAAGCAACAUUAAGCCUGGUCAGUACCUAGAUGGGUGAUUGCUUGGGAAUGCCAGGUGCUGUA